UUUUUUUUUUUUGUAAGAUAUGGAAAAAAUUCACAUUGCCUUAUUCUUUUCUAGGAGACAUUUUGGGAGCAACCGAGUUGCAAGGUCCAGUGAAUUAUAAGUAUAAGGAUUUGAAGUCAGCAACAGGAAAUUUUAGUGAUGAAAAUAAACUAGGAGAAGGAGGAUUUGGGGAUGUCUACAAGGUAAAAAAAAAUGGUGCACUAUCAAAUAUUUUGUGAAAGAUUUUAAUUGUAGUCCUUGGUUCCACAUACUUUCUCAGAGCAUAUAUAUUCUAUGAUUCAAUUUCUAAAUGCAUAAUCUCACUAUUCAUCCUUGAACAGGCUACUCUAAACAAUGGGAAAACAGUUGCAGUAAAGAAACUAGCAAUACUUCAAACAGACAGGGCAAUGACAAGUUUCGAAAAUGAAGUCAAGCUUAUAAGUAAUGUGCAUCACCGGAAUCUAAUUCGCCUUCUCGGAUGUUGUAGCAAAGGACCAGAAUUACUUCUGAUAUUUGAAUACAUGGCAAACAACAGUCUCGACAAAUACUUAUUUGGUAAUCCUCUACUCUUAGCCUCGGCUAGCUAUACAUUCAUGCAUACUAUGUUGUUAACAAAUAUAAACAAACUCUGCAUGCAUUCAGUUUAUUUGUUUAUUUCAUGAUUCUUUCUUCUUCUUCUUCUUCCAUUUCUUUUUCAUGGAAAAUAGGCCCGAAAAGAGGCUCUCUAAACUGGAAGCAACGGAAUGAUAUAAUCCUCGGUACAGCUAGGGGUCUAGCCUAUCUACACGAAGAAUUCCAUGUGUGUAUCAUACAUAGAGAUAUAAAACCCAGCAACAUUCUUUUGGAUGAUGAUUUUCAGCCAAGAAUUGCAGAUUUUGGAUUGGCAAGGCUUUUACCCGAGGACCAAAGUCAUCUUAGUACCCGAUUUGCAGGAACAUUGUAAGCUAAAAGACUUAUCUAUAUUUCUUCAAUUCCUGUACAAGCCACUAAUGAAUACAACCAUAUUUCUUCUCAACACUGAUGUUAUCAUUCUGACGUUGUAUGACAGAGGAUACACAGCACCUGAAUAUGCAAUCCAUGGUCAAUUGUCAGAAAAGGUGGAUACCUAUAGCUAUGGAGUAGUAGUCCUAGAAAUUGUAAGUGGACAGAAGGGCAGUGAAAUCAAAUCUGAUGCCAUGGGUGAAUUUCUCCUCGAAAAGGUAACUUAAAAACUAUAUAUCCUUUGUUUUAGUCUUAUUGUACCUGGAUGAUGAUGCACCCCUCACCUUUUAUUACAUUUAUGACUAGGCCUGGAAACUAUAUGAGAAUGGCCAGCACUUGGAGUUGGUCGAUGAAACAUUGGAUCCAGAUGAAUACAAAGCAGGAAAUGUGAAAAAGAUUGUUGAGAUUGCUCUAAUGUGCACUCAAUCAUCACCUGCUCUAAGGCCAACAAUGUCUGAAGUCGUCGUUUUACUUAAAAGCACAAGCUCUUGGGAAAAUAGGCCGCUUACUAGGCCUGUGUUUGUUGAUUCUGACCAUAAACGAGUAAGGGUGGACACAUCAACUUCUACCGGUUCCUCAUCAUCCAAUGCUACCACAUCCAUCUCUCAGUUUUCAGGUCGCUAAUCUUUGGGGAAGACGGUGUACGUUAAUGUAUAGUGGAACCUCCAUACAUGUACAUGAUUUUGGGAAGUUUAUUCACUUCAAAAUUUGGGCUUUGGAUUUACAAUUGCCUGUCCGUAUUUGAAAAGUCUUCAACAAUUUUGACUAUUAAUAGGGAAUUUGCUUACCGUAGUUUGUACACAUUUUGCACUUGCUGUGAAAUUAUGUGCUUUUGUAAUGCAUAUACUAGGGUUCUUUCUAUGCCAAAGGUGUGAAGGUUUACUCUUAUAUCCUAAGUAUUAACCCUUUGCUAUGCACAGGACAUGAGAACCCAAGACGAUUUUGUAAAGUACCUAGCAGUGUAUAUUUAAAAAAAGCAACUCCGUUGCAAAAAGAAUAGAAUUCCGACGGACAAUGCACAAUUCUCAGCCCCUACAAUAAAAUCACAUCAAUAUCGCAUAGCCUCAUAGUACCAAAAGUUACUUGUUUCAAAAGAUAUGCUCAAACAUGCCAAUUAUUAAUGUUCUAAGCUAUGGUCGAUAACCAGGUAAAACUACUGCUCAGUAGCUUCAGAAACUAGAGGAGAAACCCUCAGCAGCUGCUGCAAUGUCAUCAUCCUUCACUCAGAGUCUGGGGAACCAUUACCAUAAGAAACCAGGCCCUUCUUCUCGUUUGGACUGUCUGACGAGGAUCUUGAUUUGUUCUUGCCCCUUGGCCUUGGAGAUGGAGAGUCUGAGGACCUUGAAGCUGAUGGGCUCCUGCUUCUUGAAGGAGAUCUGCGCUUCUCAACCCGAGCAGCCACCUCCACUGGGGAGCGAGAACGACUUCGGAUUGGACUGCGGCUCCGGAUUGGGCUACGGCUCCUACUGUAGCGGCGACCACGACGGGGGCUACGUGAUACAGGAGACCUGGUUCUUCUGCUCCUGUAUCUGCAGAAAAGUAUGAUGUGGAGUCAGAAGCAUGCAUGUCACAAAAACCAGUAACGAAAAGAAACACAGAUUGGGAUUGGCACAUAUCACUUCCAAACUUUGUAUAGUUUGGAAUCCAAUCUUAGAAGAGAUCCACAAUUAUACCAAACAAAAGCACAGAUGGAAAAUUUAAGAGUGGCAGAUCACAUACCUCGGAGGUGUUCUUGCUCUCGGUGGGCUUCUAUAACGCCUUGGAGAGUACCUUCUAUAACUUGAAUACCUGCAAAGCAUACAGUUAGUGAAUUAGACUAUAAAAUCAAGAUGAAGCAAGAAAAAAAUACUGCAUGUGGUACCUGUCACGAUCACUUCGACCUCCAUAACGAUAUGGUCUCACAGGAGAUAAUGAAGGAGUUCUGUACCGCCGUGCAUAAGAGUACCGCUGGCUAAAACCCCGUCCCCUUCUAAUGCGCUUGGGUGAGCCAUCAGGUGAAACACUUCUUGACAAGCUCCUAUCCCUAUCAGAUGGAGGUGAUCUAACCCGGCGUACUGGGCUUCGACUCCUUGAGUAGCUGCGGCGGUUAUUCCCACCAACCGGCCUGACAGGACUGCGGCUAAUGUUUUUCCUAUUAGCAAUCCUACCCGAGCUUCUACUUGCACUCCUUCGAGAAGAUCUAGCGGGGCUUCGGCUUCUUGAAACUCUCACAGGGCUUCUGCUUAUUGAUUUUCUAGCUACUUUUCUAGGAGGGCUUGGGCUAACACUUCGUCUCGGUAGGGAUGCAGGACUAUUGCUAAUAGUUCUUUGAGACCGAGAUUUAACUGGACUCCUACUCCUACCCCUCCAACUCUUCACUGGACUCCUGCUGAAACCUCUUGCUGGGCUUCUACUGCUAUCACUUUUAACAGGACUCCUGCUGAUGCUUCUACUCCUUUGAGGGGCACGAGGAGGGCUUCUACUGACACUCGAACUCUGGCUCAUGGGACUUACACUUGGACUCUUGAUCGGACUCCUCCUGGGACUAAUACUCAUACUCUUACUCAGGAUCCUUUUAGGACUCAAGCUUCGGCUCCUGCUCAUCAACUCAUAAUAAAAGUCCAGAUCUGGAAGAAUCCAUAAGCAUAAAGAAUAACUGAGGUGUGACAAGAAUCGAAAGAAGACCUAGAUUUGCCUGGGUGAUCAUCAACUAUGUCCGGUUGCCUAUCUGCAGUUUUGUCAUAUUUAAGAUCUGUUCGCAGGCCAUUGCUCCGCUGCUCUCCAUUCUCCUUGGGGAAUGCACUUUCUUUCUCAAGCACAAUUUCUUCCUCCCUCCUUUUGAGGUGAUUUGAAGUAGCAUCUUCAUCCACUGCAUCAGAAAAUUGGUUCCCAGCUUUAGAUAUUACAUAAAAGCAAGAAGACAAGUUUUGUGAAUCAGUUCAGCUUGAGAAUACAUGCAUCAUUAUGUCAAUAAGUAAUUAUUACAUAAAAGCAAGAAGACAAAGUGCAUCAAUCACAAGAGAUACAUCACUGUACUAAGUAGUAUAUGCGCAUGUUGAGGAAAUAAGUAAAGAAUACCAGCUUUCUGUGAGGUCUCCUUUUUAGACUUCUUAUCCUUCCUUUCUGCAUUAAGACCAUCAUCUCCAGCGUUACUGUCACCCUCAGUAUCUGUAAGGCUGUCAGAGGCCCUUGAGAACAGAAAUUAAAACGUCAGUAACUAUAAGCUAGGUUAACAACUAUAAAAUGGCAUAACAUUUACUAUAAAAUCGUACUUAAUCAGGAAAAUAUCAAUUCAAUUUUGCCCAACAAAACUGGAUAAAACAGAACCACCUAUUUGCAGCCCUACUCAGUAAACAGGAAAAAGAACAUACAAAACAAAUACUCCAAGGCAGCUUAUAACAAGUAAACAAGCAAAACUCACUGUAAUCCAACACUCUUAAGACAUAUACCAGGCACUACACCCACUAUAACAAGGCUUAACAGCAUAAAGAGAUUGUAACUGAACUAGUGGCCAUAAGCAAACUCUCGAGCAUGGGCACAAAUAUAUAUUAAAAAAUGACGUCAGCAUAAAGAGGUGCAAACCAUCAAGAAUUCAAAACCAGGGAAGGUUUAGCAUACUACCUUCUUGAUCUGAUCUUAGAUCUCUUAUCACGGCGUCUACGCUUUUUGUCUCUUCCCUUGUCCCGCCUUUUUGCACGUUUAUACUUGUCUCUUUUAUAAGACCUCUUUCUUUUCUUACGUCUAUCAUCACUUGAAGAACUGUCGUAAGAGGAUGAGGAUAAAUCAGAGUCAGGAUCACUAUCGGAUUCAGAUGAAUCCAACUCAGAAUCCGAGUCACUUUCAGAUGUCGAUGAAUCAUAUUCGUAUCUCCUCCUCCUCCUCUUCCUUCUGUCUCUUGAAGAUUUCUUGUGUUUUCCCUUACGCUUCAAUUCAAGACUAUUAGCAUCUGAAGAAGCUUCCUUCACUGAUUUUACUUUCUUUUUGUCUGCAAACACAAAAUCAGAAUCAGAAGCUUGGUAAUAAAGAAAUUUCAGGCUUUAGAUAGUUCCUAAUGAGCAAUAGUGAUUCAUAUUGCUCCAGAUCUUCAGAUAAAUUAGUGUAUCCAUAAUAAUCACCUUCACUAUAUUCACCACAGUUGAUGACUUUCACUGUCACAGUUGGAUUCCCAUCUACAUCACCCGCAUUUUCUAUUCUUUUCAAAACGUCCCAUCCAUGUUUCAGCUUCCCAAAAAUGACGUGCUUUCUGCAAAAUCAUAAAGCAGUAGUGAGAACUAUCACUAAAUGCGCCAUCAACCUCAAGCAUAUAGAAAAACAGAAACAGGAUGUAGAUAAAAAAAUAAAUAAAAAAUAAAAAAAAUAAAAAAACCUGUCUAGACUAUGAUUAGCUUCAAAGGUGAUAAUGAACUGAGAGCCUAGAGAGUCACGAAGAGCAACAGGCAUUGAGAGAAGUCCAGGUUCAUUGUGCUUUAGCUUCGGUGACUCAUCUGAAGCAAAGUAAAACAACCAAUCAUCAGACAUGAAAACAAGCAUAUACUAACACAAACUAACUUGACAAGUUCAUACAGACUAAGCAGUGCAUGGCAACAUUCUUUCUUGAGCAACAUAUUUCAUCAAUUGGAUAGAGCAACAUAUUUGUUCUUUAAAUUUUGACUUUUAAAAGGAGCAUAUGUGGUCAUUUUACCAAGCUAAAAAUAGAUAUUUAGGAGCAAAAUGAGAAACUGAAAGUCAUUGUGCGCCUAGAUAAAAGAAUAAUCUAGCAGUUCAUUACAUGUCUAUAAUUGUGAGAGAGAGAGGAGGGGGGAGGGGGGGGGGGGGGAGAGAGAGAGAGAGAGAGAGGAGGCAUUGUAACAUUAAUUACCUGGAAACUCCUCCUCACUGUAAAUGCUUUCGCCACCAGUGCCUGUCAAGUCAAGCAUACAAAUCCAAUAAAACUUGAGCUGGGGUGAUGUUAAAAAGGACCUCAUGUAAUGUUCAAAAUACAAUCACAUCUACCCAAACUGACCAAUUAAGUUUCAAAAAUUGAUUUUAGUAAAUUUGUCAGCUUGGAUUUGGUCCUAAAAUCACAGCAUAUGAUUGGUUCACAACAUCAUGUUGCUUCUACCUUCUGCCACUACAAUGUUUUCCUCAAAAGAAACUUCUUGGAAAUGAGACAAAUGGCAUUCACCACAGCUGGGUUUUUAUUCUUCCAGAGGCCAUUCUAUUUCUUAUGUUGGUAUCAAUUAAACAGUUAUCUCCCAGUAUAUUACAAUGAAUCUUCAGUAACCAGUCUUCUCUCUCUCCAUCAACUUAGGUUUAAGGUUUAAAAGAACAAGCGAGAAUAAUAAUAACUUUGAGACCAAGUGUAUAUAAGAACCAGCAUUUCUACACUCUAGACAUCAUCCUAUAUACAACGCGACGGAUAAUCAGUAUAUUAGAUAUUAUUCUCGUCCAGAAUGAAAUUAUAGCAGAUGUUUUCAUUUUUUCACCCUUUAGAUUAAGUUGCUUCAAGAGAAUAAAGUCUAAUUGAACUAUCUAACAACAAGAAUAUAUAACAACUUAAUCUAAAGGGUGAAAAUUUAAAUGUACUGAUGAACGAAAUGACAAAUUUAAGUGUACUGCAGAAAAGUAAUGAUACAUACCAUCCCUUUUGACAAAAUCACCUCCCUGUGAAAUAAACACCAGUCAUUAAUCUUUCUCAGAUAAACAGAGAUGUGUAUGCGAAACUGGUUUGAGCAUGGCAAAGCAUAGUAAAAUUUAAGGAAAAAAACAAAAAACAACUUAGUACAACCUUAAAACUAUAUCACAAGAAAAGCAGUCGUGACCGUCAGCCCUGUAUCCUACAGCAUAAACAAGGGUAACCGGCUAAAAGACAAACCAGUGCCAAGACAUGCUCAACCAGAAAACGCUACAAAGGGAAAUCAAGAAGAAUACAAGGAUUCAUACCUUUGCAUAGUAACCUUUUAAAAUGCGAUGGAAGAAAGACCCUUUGUAGUGUAGUGGUCUCCCACUCUUUGGUCCAAUUCCCUUUUCUCCUGAAUAUUCAGAACAAAGAUGAAAUCAGAAACUCGACAAUUCUAAUUAAACAGUGUAACUGUAAGUACCCCUAACCUCAGAAGAAAGGAAAGUGCAGCGUCAUGACUCAUGAGCCAAAUGACAAUUACAUUACACCAUACAUUACCUGUACAGAGAGCACGGAAAUUAUCGGCAGUCUUGGGAGCACGAUCAUAGAAAAGCUGCAAACAAUCAGAAACCAGAGACUCAUUAGGAAAUGCAAACACCAAGAAUAACAUUAUUUUGUGCACUCAAGAACACAUAUCCACUUUAACCUAGUUCACAAACAAUACCUCGAAAACCAUCUUUUCAGCAGGAUCUCCAUCAAUGCACAAAUCCAUAAAAACCAAAGGGUUCUUCUUCUUCGCCAUUCCUUCCUCUUCAAGCACAAAUCCUCAAGCCAGCGUAACCACUGCCACAAAUUCGGGAAUGCAACAUCAGAGUCAUCACCAUACUCAUCUUGACAAGUACUAACCCGAUUAGAGCUAUAACAAAACCAAAUCACGCACCGGAAUCCUUGAACCCUAGUCGAAUAUCCACAAACCCUAAAACCAAAUGCAUGCGUAGAACAUGAAAAUUAAAGCAUCGAGCUGAACCAACAACACAUCUGAGCUUUAUUUUCUGGUUUUUCAACUCUAUAGUUACGAUUGCAUCCAGCGAAUUUUAUAGAUUUCAAAAAUUUCAGGGAGAAAAAAUUACCGAGUUUGGGAUUGAAACAUUGGGGAGCAGAAUAAUAUUUGAUAGUGAGAGAGAUUGAAAAAUUAAGAAAAAAAAAGAGUGGGGAAACCCUAGAGAGUUCACCUGAGAAACGCAGAGCCACAGAAAAGUGACGAGACGAGAUGAGAGUGUGUGUGAGGUUGGUCGAACAAGAAUACCUAAAGCGCUCCCAUUUAUAUACGCGGCUUUAGCUGCUUCUACUGAGCAAGGAAGUUACCGGACUGUCCCUCAUAUUAGUAAAAGUGUCUUGACGAUUCUGUCCCUGGCAAGUGGCAAUAGUAACUUUAUUUUUAUUUUUAUUUUAAAUAAAUAAAUUUCUCUCUUAUUUUCGGGAAUUGAAAUUCAUACUCCCUCUUAUUAAUGACUUAAUUAAUAACGUGUGUUUUUUGUAAAGUAAUAGGUUUUAUAUAGUGAAAGCAUGCUAAGCUGCAAGGAGCCGAAUGAUGUUAGGAUUUUCUUAGUAAUAAGAGGUCCUUGGUAUGAACACUAGUUUGUGAAAAAAAAUGUCUCUGGUACGAACACCAGCUUGUGAAAAAAAAUAAAUAAAUUCUCAUAUGUACAAGUCAUUCCUAAAUUGCUCUCGGUCUCAAAGUUGGUGCCCCAUUUAUCCACCAUUUUUCGGUACACAUAAUCUUUUAUGAAAGGUUUAGUCAAAAAAUGAAAUAAGAUGGGUAGGUUGUUAAAUGGGGUGGUGGUGCACCCUCUUAUUUCAAGCGGCCUUAUUUGGAUCCAGAGAACAUGUGACGAUGGGUCUUGGGCUAGUGAGCCAACGAAGGUGGCUCCUGCAGACACUUGACUUCUCCAUAUUAAGAAACAACUAAAAUCAACUCGAUGUUUGAUGAGAAUGUAAAGACAUCAUAAACCAACUUUCUAAUGGAUGUCACAAUCAUCCGUCCAUUCGUAUACAAAUAAAGUUACCUAUGAAUUUGUUUCAACCAUGACUAUAAUUCACAUAAAAACUUUUACCAAGGUGUUUGAGAAGUGUAACUAAAAUCAACUUUAUCACAAAAUUUUUAACAGAACCCAUCAACUUUAUGUUCGUGAAAUAAAUAAGAUAUCGAAGUUCAUAGUGGAUUUUGUUAUACACGAAAUUAUUCUGAUUCAUGAUAUUUUUUUGUAUAAAUCGCAAGCUGGUCCCGAACAUUAAUAUAUCCAACUUUCUCGAAUGUAAAUUAUAAAUGAAUAUAGUUAGUUUACCAAAGAAUUUGAUAAUCUGGUUUUCAAGAGGAUUUUUUUUUUUUAGUAAAUUUGAUAAUUUCAUAAAAUGAGAACGAAAUUGAGGUUUUUAGUAAUUUGGCAAUCUAAUACUUACUGAGCUUCCGUUAUUACCCCGUUAUGCAUUCCAUCUCUAUGCCGCCCCUCAUCUCUCCCCUCCGUCGUAUCAGAGACGGCUCUCAGUUGCUGAAAACUGAAACAAGCUGAAACCUUUUGGCUUCCCAUCUCAUUUUUAGGUAUGCUCUUAAUUGUUUCUGCUUCAAUGGCACCCGCAUAUGUUGUUUAUUCUUAAUGAAUGCUUCUUGGGUUUUGGUAGUAACUAUGAAAUAUUCUGGGUUUUGAUAUUUUUAGCUCAUCAAGUUGUUCUUCACUUAACUCUGAUAUUGACCUUAAACACACAACGAUCAAAAGCAAAACCCAGAAUUGGGAAUGGCGUUGUUCUUCACUUGUUCUGCAAAACCCAGAAUUUGGUUUUUAAGUUUUUCCUUUUUUCCUCUCGACCGCUAACAACAACCGUCAGUUCUUAAAAAUCCAGAAUUGGGGAUUAGGGUUCUUCUGCUAAAAAUUCGUUUUUGGGAUGAUAUUUUCGCUGCUUGUUGGUUUGCUGUACAUGGUUAGUGCGCGAUUUGAUUUUGAUUAUAUAUAUAUUGUUGCUUCUAACUCUGUUUUGCAAGCGCGGGAGCGUCCUGGUACAUUUUCAAUCUCAAUGAUUUUGUGCGAUUGAUUCAUGCAUGAAAACCUUAGAACUCGCCUGGGGAAGUAGGUUGUGGUGCCCAGAUGAAACUUCAAUUUCGAAUUGUUUGAGAGAUGGCAUGCAUAAUUUGGAAUGUGAAUUGAUGUGAUUGUAUGCUUAUGAAUGAUUCCAUGAAAUUUUGGUGAUUCUGAGUACUUGAAUGUAUGAUCACGCAUAGCUUAAGAUUGAAAUUGACAGAUAUGUAUAUUUUUACUCCCAAAUCUAUAUAUGUUUGUUGAAAUAUCAAGAUUGAGCAUGUUUGGUUUUCUGACAGUUUUAUGAAUUAGAAUUGGGAACAUAAAGUAACAAUCACAGGUAUUUUAGUUAAUAGAAAUUUGGAAUACAUGUUGCAACAGCAAACUGUUUUAAAUGAUUCUUGUAACUAUAAGGCAAAUACCUGGAAAAUUGCAUGUUUUUUUAUUGAAAGUAGGGACUGUAUCAUCCACAGAUGGCUUUAAACUUUACCUAUCUUUAAUAACAAAUAUGGUUUUGAAUAUGAGAUGUUUUACUUCUUAAAGUGCAGUAUGAUACCAACUAUUGAACUGAAGACCACAUAAAGACAUAAACACAUUGUUCCAUGUUUCAACAAAUAUUGACAAGAACACUUAAGUAUCAUAGUAUUCUAAGGAUAGGGAUACCAACCUUGAUUGUUAAUGUUGAGAGCUAUUAAGCAAAGUAAGUCUUCUGCACAAUUCUCCAGUUUGUCAUUCACCGUCAGUGUGAAACUUGAAGACGUUAAAUGAGCUUGUGCAGGGCCCCCUUUAUAUAUAGACUAGCUCACUUAGAGUCCCAUCUCACAAGGCGACUCUAGUAAAACCAAUCUAAACCUUUGUGAUAACUGAUAAAUAGUAUUUCAUAUUAUCUUAAGUUCCUUGUAUUUAGCUAACCAGAUUAUUAGCUAAAUAUCCAAGUUAAAUGUCAUUCGAUUAAUCUCAUUCACUUGUUUCACAAGAUGCAUACAUUUGUUGGACUCUUAGAGAUAUGACUGAGUCCACAUCAGAUUAUCAGAUUGAUAAAAAGAGUGAUAUUCAUAUUGCAAGGCUACUGGUUAUACAUCAGUUGGUAUAUACUUGCCUCUGCUACAGAUUGGUUCAAGAAAAGGUUUUAAAUAUAUCAAAUAGGUGAAAAGUGAAGACUAGGAAAACCCGGAAGAUGAAAAGUGUGAAUGAGUAGGAAAACGUAUUCUAAUUUACAAGAAAAUGCCUCCCAUUUCUAACUCUCUUCCCAAUUAGUUGAGAGCCAUUUACCAAUCAUUUUGAUUUAUCGGCUUGUUUGCUCUGUUGCUUUGGUUCUACAAACUAAUUAAGUGUGCUUUGUUUUCGAUGAUUAAAAGAUGAUGAUCUCUGUCUCAGUGAUGCUUAUAUAAAUUAGCAAUAUGUGCAUUGGCAGGGAGAUCACAGCGGACUAACCAGACAACAUGUGGAGGCAAGUAAUAUCCUCAUCAUCAGCUCUUGGCUCAGCCCCAUGCAGAUCCAGCCGUCCAUUCCUCAUAUCAUCUUCCUUGGCAAUGGAGCCAUUUCAGGCAUCAUUCACUCUGUCAUCCUUCUAUUCUUCUUUUGCUUCGUCUGCAUUUGCUAUGAAUCCUGAGCAUGAGGAGGUUGAUUCUGAGCUUGAGGUUAGCAACCUAAACUAAUACUGUUUGUCUUUUUUCUUCAAAAUUUUAGUAAGUUUUGAAGUGUGAGUGUGGUUUGACUAUAGGCUUCUUAAAGGUUUCAUUUCAUUAUAUUCAGGGAAGGAACAAUGCAUCCAGGCAGAGUGCAACCUACAGUGGGUUUUACGGUCAAAAUAAUCAGCAGUGGCAACAGAACCCAAAUGCGGUUUAUGCUGAUAGUUCAAGGGCUCCCCGACAGAGCUCAUACCAGUUUGGUCAGAAUUACAGUGGGGGGUUCAAGGGAAGCACAGACAAUGAGUUUGUGAAUAAUCCAGUUCAACAAAGUGGAAACUUUAGCAGGUUUCGUGGGCCUGAAAAUGGAAGGUUGCAGCAAACCACACAACUAGAUUGGACACAUCUAGGACAUGGAAGUAUACAGCAGAAUUCAUAUGUUGCUCACCAGGAAAAGCCUAGGGAACUAGGACAGAUUCCAUAUGGUUUUAAAUCACAAAGCAGUUCAGGAUCUCAGGGAAGUAUAAACCACAGCUCUCUGCAACAUUCUAUAGAUUAUCAGAAAAAUACAAUCGGUUACAACAUAGGAAGCAGUUCUACACAAAAGCAGCAAAAUUUAAAUGAUUAUUAUAAAGGUAAUGGACAGUAUCAGCAGAGUGUUGGUUAUGGACGGUUUCAGCCAAGCCCACAUGUCGGACAAUAUCAGCAAAUCCCCCAGGUCGGACAAUAUCAGCAAAGCCCCCAGGUCGGACAACAUCAGCAAAGCCCCCAGGUCGGACAGUAUCAGCAAAGCUCCGAGGUCGGACAGUAUCAGCAAAGCCCCCAGGUUGGAGAACCAGCUGAGGCUUCUGAUAGUAACCCUAAUAGCGUUAAGGGUACUCUUGAAGAGUUGGAUUUGUUUUGCAAGGAGGGGAAAGUUAAGGAGGCUGUGGAGGUCUUGGGUCUGCUGAAGAAGCAGCAUGUGCACGUGAACUUGGACCAAUAUUUUCAGCUGAUGCAUGCAUGCGGGGAGGCAAAUGCCCUUGAAGAAGCAAAAGCUGUUCAUGAAAACAUGCAGUUACUGUCUCCUUUAGAAGUGAGUACCUACAACAGAAUUUUAGAGAUGUAUUCAAAAUGUGGUUCUAUGGAGAAUGCAUUAAUGGUUUUCAAUGAUAUGCCGAAGCGCAAUUUGACGUCUUGGGACAUUAUGAUCACAUGGUUUGCUAAGAAUGGUCUUGGGGAAGAUGCCAUCGAUCUAUUUACUCAGUUCAAGAAAGCAGGGUUGAAACCCGACGAUCAAAUGUUUAAUGGGGUUCUCUAUGCUUGUAGUGUCGUGGGAGAUGCUGAGGAAGGACUGCUGCAUUUUGAAUCAAUGAGCAAAGAUUAUGGCAUUGUCCCAACCAUGAAAAAUUAUGUGUGUGUAGUAGAUAUGUUUGGAUCUAUAGGUUUUCUGGAUGAGGCAUUGGAGUUCAUUGAAAAAAUGCCAUUGGGACCUAAUGUUGAUGUUUGGAAAACCUUGAUGCAUUAUUGCAGAGUUCAUGGGUAUUUGGAGCUUGGGGAUCGUUGUGCUGAGCUAGUUGAUCAGCUGGAUCCCUCCUGCUUAAAUGAGCAAUCAAAGGCUGGCCUUAUUCCUGUGAAUGAAUCAGACCUCGUAAAGGAGAAAGAGAAGAAACAAUUAGCAGCUAAAAAUCUCUUAGAGGUCAGGAGUCGAGUCCAUGAAUAUAGAGCAGGAGAUAGAUCUCAUCCUGAUAAUGAGAAGUUUUACACUCUACUUAGGGGUUUGAGGGAACAAAUGAAGGAGGCUGGUUACAUUCCAGAGACUAGAUUUGUGUUGCAUGACAUCGAUCAGGAAGGCAAGGAAGAUGCUUUGCUUAGCCAUAGUGAGAGACUUGCUGUUGCUGAUGGUCUUCUUUCCAGCUCAGCUCGUUCACCUAUUAGGGUAAUCAAGAAUCUUCGUGUAUGUGGUGAUUGCCACUCUGCUUUAAAGAUUAUUUCCAAAAUUGUAGGUAGAGAACUUAUUAUGCGAGAUGCUAAGAGGUUCCACCAUCUCAAAGACGGCAAGUGCUCUUGCAAUGAUUAUUGGUGAACAAUAGAAUUUAAUUUGUUAUUUAUCUCAGGUAUUAUUCAGAUCUCUCUAAGCUUGCAUCUCGAAAAGUUAACUUUUUCUGUUUUCCUCUACAUUAUCUAGUGAGAUACUGAGGGAACUGCAGCCCUCCCAGAUAAUAUAUUGUUGGUAUGCUUCAUGUUGAAGGUAUCUACAGUCUCAAAAAGCUUACAUAUGUAGAGCAUACAACAUGUCUGAAUAUUUGCAGAGGAUAUUCACUUCUACAGCAGGGUUUGCAGAGGGGUUCACUUCUUCAGCUCCGAAUUCAGUUUGCUGUUACGUCCUUCGCAGAGGGGUCGCUGAGGUGCUGCGCCCCUCCAUUUGUACUGCCAUUUUCUUUUUCUUUUUCUUGUCUGGAUAUGUUGUACAAUAUGAUCAUUCCGUAGAAUAAAUAGUAGAAGAUGUUGAAAUUCUCUCUUGGCCCUCGGUUUUGGAAUGCCUGAUAACUUUUUGAACCUGGACGUUUCCGACACGUUUCCAAGCUUAUAUUGGCCGUUUCCGCCGUUUAGAGCCAUAUCAAUGUGUACCCGGUGUCUUGGAGGCUCAGCAUAUGUUCUCAGAUACGCUGGAAACGGGACGGAAACGGCCCGAUACGCGUCCAAUACGUCCAGGCACGUAUCCGUAAAUAAAAUGGAUCGUGGGGGCAAUAAUAAUGACUAUUAACCAUAGCGGGUUAGUGCUCUUUUUCAACACAUUGGAGACGAAACGCAUGUCGUUUGUGUUUGAAAGCUUAAUGGAGAAAGGUUGUGAGCAGCCAUGGAGGGUCCUCGAGUUCUACAGCGGUAUUGGUGGCAUGGUAAUUCCUCAUAUUCCCUAAACCCUUAACCCUUUUGUUUUGGAUUCAUCACAAUUUGCUCAAGUCUAUCUGUGUCUUUGUAAUUGGGCUCCUAGAGGUAUUCGUUAAUGAAGGCGGGAGUGAAUGCCAACGUUGUCGAAGCAUUCGACAUCAACGACACUGCCAACGAUGUUUAUCAGCACAACUUCGGACAUCGUCCCUAUCAGGUUCUGUCCCCUUUUUCAGUUUAAUGUUUACUUAUACUGCAGUCUAGUGUUUUACUGUGGUGAAUUUGACACUGGAGGAUUGAAAGUUUGAGUCUUUAUGGUAAAACCAAUUGGAAACUCAUAUUUGAGUAAAAACUUUCAUUACUGAAGGAUCAAGGAUCCAAAGUACAAGUCUUUAUUGUCACCCAAUUUGUGUAUUUGUAUCCCAGUUCAGUUCUUGGCUGUAGUACUGUACUGCAUACACAUCCAAGUAAAAGCUUGUGGUGGAGUUGGCAUCUAAAGAUCAAAAGUACAAACCUUUGUUAUGGUUUUCCACAUUGGACUUUGUGCAUUCAUUCUGUCAGAUGAUCAAUCACUCGUGUUUGUGCCAUUUGUUGGAAAGUUUUGGUAUAUGCCUUGUAACUUGCUUUAUAGUGGGUCGGUUUGGAUUAGUAUUUCAUUAACUACAUGUUGUCAAGUGUCCAAUGUGUGUUUUCUUGAGCUGCUUUUGUUUUUUGAAUUGUUGAUGUUUUGCUUUUCAAGUCCUGGGACACGGUAUUAUGGUGCCUACUUGAGUUCAUGAUGUACGGAAUUUAAAUACUUUUGUUCAUAUAGGGAAACAUUCAGAGCCUUACUGCUGCUGAUCUCGAUAGAUAUAACGCGAAUGUAUGGCUUCUGUCUCCUCCUUGCCAACCUUACACUAGACAAGGUUAGUUCAUAUCGCUUUCCUAUUUUGCAGAUAUAUAACAUUAAUUUGUAAUAAAAUUCACUAGCUACUUAUGGUUAGGUCUCCAAAAGCAAUCUGGUGAUGCUCGGGCAUUUUCAUUUCUCCAGAUUCUUGAGUUGAUACCACACACUUUGCAACCUCCAGUAAUGUUAUUUGUGGAAAAUGUUGUUGGAUUUGAGGUAUAUUCUUGGAAUUUUUAGCUUAAGUACAGAGAUUGAUAUCUGUUAUUUAAUUUCCCUUUUUUUUUCUUACGUCUUGAAUGCAGACAUCUGAUACACAUGCAAAAAUGUUAGAGAUAUUGAGAACAAGUGACUAUGUUACACAGGAGUUCAUAUUGAGUCCCUUGCAGUUUGGUGUACCAUAUUCCAGGCCGCGCUAUUUUUGCCUGGUAGCCUCAUCUGUCUUAAUCGUUCAGAAGAUCUGGGAAACUUUGAUGCUCUCAUGUCCAAUUAUAUAAUGUACCAAUCAUAAAUUCUUUUAUUUUAUAGGCAAAGAGGAAACCCUCGACCUUUCAGAGUCAACUUUUCGAUAAUCAGCUUCUUCGGUCGCCAAAGCCAUUAUAUACAAAUGCGGAUGACAAAGUGUUCUGUGAACUUGAUGAGCUGGAAGGGAGCUCAGACAAGUUGGUUGAAUCUUGUCAGCCAAUAGAAAGCUUUCUUGAAUUCAAGAAUUGCAGUGAUUGCCCCAACUUUGUGGAUGGCACUACUGUUUCUACAGAUACCAUUAGAGUUUUGGGCAAAGAUGAAGAGAAUGGUUGUUAUACUAGCACAUUGGAUCAGUACACUGUUCCCUCAAGCUUGAUAGAGAGAUGGGGAAGUGCCAUGGGUAUCCUUGUUUUACUUUUUAAUUUUGUCAUUGAUUUGAACAUAGUAACUACAUGAAUCUCUUAGAUGUGAAUCCAGCCGAGGAACCUAAGAGUUCUCACUCACAAGUAUUAUUAAUAAUGCAGUGCUCAUUCAAUGAGGCAGGCUCCUAUUUCUCUGAUAAAAUGAAAGGUGAAGGGGAAAGUGUCCUGUCCUACUAGAUUACAAAACUAGCCUCCCUGACCUGCUCCUGCAUCAUUAUUUAGUACUUUGAUAUUGCUUUUCUUUCUCUUAGAAACUCUCUUAAGGUAUCCUUAAUACUGCUUAGAUAUUGUCUACCCGGAUUCAAAGAGAUGUUGUUGUUUUACAAAAAGUUAUUAUCGAUAUGUGAAGGGAACUGGCUCCUUUUUGGCAACUGGGCAGGUAAGCCAUCACUACUUCACACAUGCAGAAAAUCAUAAUAUGGAAUUGGGGUUUAUGAAAUCUGAAAACUUCACACUUUUGAUCAUUCGAAAAAAAACACAUGCUCCAUGCUCAUAAUAGAUUGGAAUGUUUGACUGCUAUUUAAGUUCUCUACACAGUUCAGUUCAUGCUUAUAAAAUGACUGAGCACUUCACCAUAUCGAAUGACAUUGUUGCUGCUUAACACUUGCAAAAUUGUAUUGGGCAGGCAAAGAUAAAGGAUAAAGCAUCUUCACUGAAGGAACAGAGCCUUAGAUACUUCACCCCUAGGGAGGUAUGCUGAUCUACAAAUCUGCUUCAUUUCUUGGUUUCAUGUUCUUAAUCUCUAUUAAUGUAUUCACACAUCUCUCAAAAAUCAUUCAGGUUGCUAAUUUGCAUUCUCUGCCGGAAAGCUUUCAGUUUCCGCAGCACAUAAGCCUUAGACAACGGUAUGUCAAUAUUUCAUCCUAUCUACUGGUUGAGAUGCGGCAUAUUUUCAGAGAAUAAAUAGUACUAUGCAUUUGUUUCAUGCCGAUGUGAAUCUGAACUUAAUGCUUUCCGUUUGGUCUUGAUAAUAGUAUCAAAGUAUAUAAUAGUAUCAAAGUAUAACAGUGGUCGUUAAGCAAGACUGAUGUAUGUUGUAUGUUUAUUUACACUACCAGGUAUGCAUUGCUGGGAAACAGCUUGAGCAUAUCAGUGGUUGCUCCCUUACUCCGAUAUUUAAUCGCUGAAUCAUCAUGAUUAUUCCAAGGCACAAACAUUGUACUCUGGUUACCAUCUACCCAACCUCUAACAUGUAAUAUGAACUACGAUGUGCUUUAAUAUCAGAACGCAUCAAUUGUCAUGGUGCCCCUGGAUUUUGUAGGCUUUUCAUCCUUGUCGAUUCCCAGUUUGUACCAUAAUAUAGAACGACAAUCAUAGCAAUUGUCAUAAUCCUACAUUAGUGAUCAUAACAUAUGCAUUUGAUUGUGUUGUGGAUGGUGAUUCACAAGUUCACAAGUAAGUCAAAACUGAUAGGGCACAUAAGUGACUCUAGGAUGCCAAUUUUUGUCAAGGCAAUGUACUGCUGGCUAGUCUACACCAACAUUAAAGAUAAUCACAAAAGAGAGGUAAGAAGAGAAAACAGGUUGUAUGUUACUAAAAAUAAAUGACGUUAAUUCAUUAACAAAUGCGGUGGCAAAAAUCUGUUAAUAUUGUUUCUUAUUCAACAAAACAUCUUAUUUUUCCUUUUGAAUUUGCACAUACUAUCUGGUUUGACUACUUCAUUUUGGCAUAUUGUCAUUUUACAAGCAAUUCUUAUUUUUUUGAACAAAACAAACAAACCGUCACUCUUUACAUUUUAUAUUUUUAAUUAUUUUUUAGAUGUUUGCCACCUAAAUAAUAAAAUAAUGCAUGCUAUAUCAUAACUUAUGCUUCUAGUGCUGACUGCAUUUGGAUUAAAACUAUUGGACACACUUGAGAAGCAAGUUAAGCACUCUUAAGAAAAAAUAUCUUUAGAGAAAUAUAUUCUCCUAAAAUUAAAAUGCAGCGCUUAUAUGCAAAAGGGGAAAAAUAAAUGACCAACAUAUAAAUUCGAAAAACUAUUUUAUUUUUUCUCAUUCUCACAAACUACCAAACCCUAGCCUUCUAAAUUUUCUUCCCAAUUUGAAGUUCGCAAUUCUCAAUCUCAGAGACUCCAAAUCCCUAAGUGAAGCACAAUCACAACAGAUCUCCAUCGAAGUUCUUAUUACAGCGCUCGAAUUCCGUAGCAUCCCAAGUAAGGUCAGUCAAAUAUAUCCCAAUUUCGAUUUCUAGGGUUUCAGAUUUCCGUUGUUCUUGUAUUAUUUGUUUACUUUUUUGUGAAAUUGAAUGCGAAUGGAUCAUUUCUCUGAACGAGCUCUGUGUUUUUUGCGUGAUCGAGAAAUCCGAUUUUGAUCUUGAACUAAAAUUUGGGGCUUUUUGUUUAGUUUGGUUUAGUCUAACACUGUGAUGGGUUUGAUUGAGUUUUUGUUAUUGAUAUUGGAUUAGUGAUUAGUUUGGUAUAUAUUUGUGUCUGGUUCUUGAUUUUGAUAGUUUUAUCUAGAGGUUGCUGUGGAUAAAGCCUUUUCUUUUGUUCAUGUAUCUUGUUAUAUCUAGAUUUUUGAAGUGUGUAUCUACUGAUUAUUGGUUUUCCUGGGCUGUGUUUCUGAUUAGAUUUGAAAUCUUUGUUGUUACAGGUUUUACGAUCUUAGUCAUCAUGAGAUUCAAGAAGGGGGACAAAGUGGAAGUGCUAAGCCAAAAGGAGGUGCCUUCUGGAGCAUGGCAGUGCGCUGUGAUCGUCUCUGGCAAUGGCCACAGUUAUGGUGUUAGAUAUGAUUGGUCUCCUAACGUGGGAGGUGAAGCAGUUGUGGAGAGAGUCCCGAGAAAGGCUAUUAGGCCUUGCCCUCCGCCUGUUCAAGGUGCAGAUAGUUGGGAGGUUGGCGAUGUUGUUGAGGUCUUUGAUGUUGGUUUCUGGAAGAUGGCUAAGGUAGUGAAGGUUUAUGAUGAAAAUUAUUACCUGGCCAGGCUGCUUGGGUCAUUCGAGGAGUUAAGGAUCCACAAAUCUUGGAUCAGGGUGCGUCAAUUGUUGAAAGAUGAUAAAUGGAUUGUGAUUGGUAAGGUAAAUUUAAGAAUAAAGCUGCCGUCUGGAAAUGGUGGCUUACCUUCUCCAGAAAACAGCAGUUGUCAGGAUUCCUAUAUUGUCUCGUCUACUUCAUCAAAGAGAGCUUGCCCAUACACUGAAGAAUAUCCCCAGAAGAUGAGAGCUAUUGAGAAAGAGUGUGAGCAUCAAGAAGUAUUUUAUAGGUCCCCAUCUUCACUGCUAAAAAAGGUAGAUAAUGUUGCUUACCCGAGAGCAAAACUGGAUGAAAAAUACAUGCGUGCUUCCUUUCUUUAUCCUACAACUCGAUAUUUUGAAAAGGAGAACAUAAUUUCUAAUGGUGCUAAUUCAUGUUGUGAAAGAAGCUCGGAAGUUAGUGAUUGUGAUACUGAUGCAUGCUCUAUUGAGUCUGUUGGUAGUUGUAGUGUUAAUGGUAACCAUUCAAGUAAGAUGGCUGGUUAUGAUUUAGCAGGUAAUUGUGAAGAAGCGGAUACCCUUUCUAGCGAUGCAGACUCCUUUUCUAGUGGUGCAGAUCUGGUUGAAAAUGUUUCCCUUCCUCUGAAACUUGAUAUAGCAGCAACAAUCCAUAGGCUAGAGUUAGAUGCUUAUCGUCGAACUCUGAUGGUAAUGCAUGCUUCGGGGUCCUUAAGUUGGGAACAACAAGAUUUAUUGACAACGCUCCGUAUGUCUUUACACAUUUCGAAUGAUGAACAUUUGAUGGAAGUAAGGAACUUAAUUUCUGCUGGAACAAAUCUUUCUAAUUUUCAUCACUAGGAUAUUCAAUACUUGGCUUUACUGCCUUUUCUAUACUGUAAAGCAUAGAAUGAUUUGUUAGAGCUUAGUAGUGUAUUGAUUGAAACAUGGAAAAUUUGUAAUUUGGGAAUUAUGUAACUUAGCGUAACGGAGAAGUGGAUAUUUCCAGGUUCACUUUGGUUCUUUGUUUUUUUAGCUGCUAUUAAUACUUCAUCUAUUGCUGCAUAGGUAGCUGCUCAGUUUUGUUGUUGCGGUCUACUGUGUUCUAAAUUUCUGAUAUAUUUUAUCUUGCGUUUUUCAUCUUCAUCAUGUUCUUUCUUUUCAGCUGUUUUACUAUCUAUUUUCUUUGGACCUUGUGGUCUGUAGUUAUCUUUUGCAAUUUGGAUGAUUCAUGCUCUUGGGGCCCAAACAUAUAUAUCAAGGCUUUCUAUCAUGUCAUUAUUGGAUGAACAAUUAAUGCCAUAUGAUUUGGCCAAUCCAUAAUCACCUCAUUUCUGUUCCUUCAUGCAUGAUUGGUUGAGUGAAAUGAUUUCAACAUGUAUUGGAAACUAGUUUUUUUUACUGCAUAACACAUGAAAUAAGAAGGGUGUUUGUUCAGAUGUUUUAACUUUUUGUUUAUUGGCAAUGUGCCUCUCUACCUCCUGUGUGCAAUUUCUUCCCAUUCUUCCUCUUUUGCUUGAUCAACGCUGUCAAUAUCAAUAGCUUGGUUAUCUUGUUAUGAUGUGGAUGCAUACUUGGUACGAUUUCACAAAUCUUAUUGAUAAUUCCCUGCAUUUUCAGGGCCAAGGUUGGAGGCUGCUUGCCUUGCUUCCAAAGGUCUAGAGAUGGUGCUGGGGUAUUCCAUCUUAGUGUUUACAAUUCCACGAUCUAUUUCAAAUUUCCUUCAUUUAUGCAAAAUCUAUUGCCAGGAAGUGCUCAAGUUGUUUUCUCUGGUUCUUUGAUGUUGGUCUGCUGGGACUGUGGACACAUCUUGUACCAAAGCAGAAGAGAACUUUGAAAAGGUUCCGAGACAAACCUCAUGUUUUAUCUGAUAUUCUUUUUAUUGAUAUAUAUAUAUAUUUAUAUUUAUAUUUUCUAUGACCAUUGCAUUGUUUUGCUUCAAAAUAUAUUGGUUUACAUUAGUACCUAUGAAAAUUUACCGGUUGUCAUGCAUAUCUUUAAAUUGGAAUAUUAAAUCAAGUUUAAUUUUUUUUUAUACGCUGGGGUGGUUCUAGUUUGAAGCUAUUUUGGAUGCUACGGAGACAAAUCUUUAGGGUGUUGUCAAAACAUCUUUCAAAUUUCCAGUAUAUCAUUCAGGAUUGCAGUAUAGUUGAAGUAGAUGGGGUUGUGUGGUUAUUAUACCUGGAUGUAUUUUAUGAUAUUAUUUUGGAUUUUUUUGAAAAUUUUUGCGUUUCAUUAAGCUGGGAAAUGCUAACAGUUCUAUAUGAAGAAGAAUCAGUCCAUUGCCAACAAUGGUGUUCCUAAAAGACGGGGAGAGAUUCCUAACAUUGAAGCUCGGAAAAAUGAUAGGUAACAUACAAUUCUUUUGAAUUUUAGGCUCAGUCAGCAGUUAUGUUUACAAAAUGACAGUAUAAAACUAUAUAUCAUUUGUUUCCCCUGAGGGGGAUUUUUGUACAUGCACAUGCUGUGCAUCACAUUGGAAUUUGGCAUAUGCAUAUGAAACUGAAUUAGGAGAUUCAGAAAGGUUAUUAGCACCUUGCCAACUUGGAUACUCUCUGGUUCUUUCAUCUGUGCAACCACGUUUUUUUCUUUUCAGAAAAUUUGGAUCUUGAAAGCUUAUAGUGCCAAUUCCUUUCUAUUUCUGCCCAAAGGAAAUGCACUGACAAAUGUAAAGGGGGUUUUGUCCCCAAAUUUUAUGUUGUGACAUAAUUACUCUGAAGUGUUUGCUAGACCUAAGCAAGGGAUGAAAUGUCGAAGUGAAGAAAACACAAAGGCUAUUACCGUACUUUUGUGUGCAACAUUAACCCAAACCAAGUCAAAUUCAUGCUACAUGACAUUGAGGAAGGUUUCAUGUCUCAUAUUGAAGACGGCCAGGAUUCACUCCUUUACGUUGUAUACUGAGCUUUUGUUUAGGUGAAACAGUAAAUGGUAGAUGUUCAUUGAACUUGCUUAACAUCAACAAUUGACACCUGUAUUUGGAAAUUCAGUGUUUCUUGUUAAUAAGAAUUGCGUUGUACCUACUUCACCUGUUUACAAUGUGCCUCUUCUUCAGCUUUAACCUCAGAGGUCUUAUUCCCUUGCUUUGUUUGAUAACCCCAAUCUGUGAAUAAGAUAAACAUGCGUGCUUUUGAUAAUUUGAUUCUUAAAGUUUAGUUGUCAGUGGAAAACGUUUUGGCAGUGAUAGGUUUUAUGAUUUUGAGGUAGUGAGAAGUGGUCGCAGUGAUGGUGUUCAUAGCUCAUUCAUUUGUCAAAACUCUUGUGCAGCCGAAAGUUCGUCGGCUAAAGUAUGAAACGCAAUGAAACACGAGAGAACUACUAGAACACCUUUUGGAGCCACAAUUCCACAAGUACUACUACACAUAGAAUUAUGAACGCCUGAGGUAUAUUGGCUAUUUGCAACGAGAUCAUUACAUAGGAAUUUGCUUUCUAAGAACUACCGAAAACCCUAUUCUUGGAGAAGAGUAAUCAGGACAUAAAAUAUUUUCCACAGUAGAAGCCCCAGCAUCAAGCACAGCUAUUCAAACAGAUCAUCAUCAUCAUCAGGAAGUGGUUGGUGUUUAACCCUCUCCAAAUCCUCAUCGAUCCUGAAAUGACAUGAUAAUAAGAUACAUCAACAACUCAGAAGAGAUUAAAACAAACAGGUGUCCAUGGUAAAAACUGCUCAUUAUGAAUUCAAAAUGAUUGAAGUAGUAGAUCAGUCUAUCACAUACUUUGUCUGUUCAGCCACGUCAAUGUGAACCUCAGGAGGAGCAAGAGCAGGUGAUUCAACGAAGAUCAGCUCCAUAUUUCUUUAGAGAGAACAACAAAGACCAUCAAAAUAUUACACCUUUGCAUAACCAAGUUAACGGAGCCAACAGAGCAUCAUAUAAAGUGAAAAGUGGUAAAUUUACUGAAUUAAAGGCUAUAGAAAAUAGAAAUUUACCCUGCAAGCUUUCUGGCAAGGUACAAGAAAGGUUUCUCAAAGUUGUAAUUGCUCUUAGCAGAAAUCUCAUAGUACUGGAGAUUUUUCUUCCUGUGAAAGGUGACCUGCUUUGCUUUCACCUGCCUAUUCUUUACAUCCACCUUGUUUCCGCACAGAACAAUUGGGAUGUUCUCACAUACCCUGGAACCAAUUUAACUUGUAUACUAUCAGGAUGCUUAGUUCUUAGUGGGCGACCUGGUUUCUAAUGACGCAAGUUACAGACGGAGAGUAUAAUAUCAUGAAUUUGACUAGAGACAGAAUGUUUAGAUGAUCGAACUGGUCAAAAACCAAUAAAGAAUCUUACUAUAAAACCCUCCUAAAUGCAAAAUGAUCCUAACCAAAUCGUCCUUCAUACAUACAUAUAUGCAUAGAAAAAGUCUAAAAGUCCAAAGAGUUAGUAAACUGACAAGAAAAUACUAAUGGAACAUGAUUAACAUGGAACGAAACUCAUUCAAAUAUAACAAACAAUCACAUCAAAAUGGUAAGGAUUUGUUCUGUUUUCGGUUGUCAAAGAGAUGAGUUGCAUGAACAAAAUCAUAGUUCCACAUUGCAAUAUCACUGAAUCUACUAAACUACAAUCAGCCAUUCACACUAAAAUGCUUUCAAGCACAAAAGUUUAACAACAAAACAGCACACACUACUACAAAGAGGAUGAUGACAGAAAACUCGAUUAGAGCAAACCGAAACCAAUAGUUGAAGGAUAAAGAGGGCACACAUACUAGUAUCCAUCUCUGAGCCCACCAAACUUCUCCUGACCAGCCGUGUCCCAGCAGUAGAAUCUGAUCUUCCCAAAGUUGGUGUGGAAAUCCAAGGGAUGAACUUCGACACCGAUCGUCGCUGAAAUUCACAAACCAAAACACAAAUUCAAAUCUGAGUUCCUCACGUUCGUAUUUCUUCUCGAACUCUCCAGUGAUAUGUCGCUUCACAAAAGUAGUCUUCCCUGCGCUACAAUCAAAACUCUCAAUGUUAGGGUUUCCGCCGUCGCCGACGAUGACGAGCUUGAAGCUAGGGUAAUCCACAGUCUGCUGAUUCGGAAGAGCCUGUGUAAAAAAUAACAACAAACAAACAACGAUGAGAUCAGAGAUCGAGGAGACGAAACCCUAGCCAAGCAGAGAGAAGAAAAGAAGGAGAGGUUUACCAUUAAGCUUGAUCGAGAAUUCGGAAUCGGAGAUUAUUUGAAUUUGAGAGAAUUAGGGGUAAUUUAUAGGUUUCGCACCGUCGGAUCACUGUCCCGCUUAAAAAUUCCGCUUGAAUUCUGGCCCUACACGUAGCACGUUUUCUUCUUCACCUAAAUAUCACCGCCCUGCCGGGAUCGUGUUAAAGCGCUUUGUAACUAUAGACGAACGCAGAAAACGGUCAUAUAUCAUUCAUCAAAACAAUCUAUGUCGUAAGGAGGUUAACCAGAUGAUCCGACAUUGUCUUUCAACGUUGCCUAUUUGUACUUAUGGAUAGUCGAUGAUCAUUUCGUGUUUCAUCUUACAGUUCUUACUGAAGGCCGCAACGUUCCCAAAUUCACGUCUCCACAACUUUCACAUCUCCCAUAUUAAAUCUACAGAGUCGCACAACUUUCACAUCUCCCAUAUCAAAUCUACAGAGUCGCACAACUUAUACCCUGAUGUCAAUUUUCACUAUCUUUUCCUGCUCUUCGUAAUAGCGUAUAAAAUGGACAGCUAAAAGCACAAUAUCAUAAACAUCUUAACAGCAUGCAAAGAUGUUGAAAGAAUCACAACCCAUAUAAUACCAGCAAAUCAGUACUGAUCAUUAGGAAAGGCUGAUAGAAAGCCAAUCUAAUAUAGAAAUCAGACAUGUAAAACCAUAGAACUCGACAUCCGCAAAUUCACAUCCUCAAUAAGACAAGGAAAAUUAUCACUUACAAACAGCAAUGCCAGCAGUUCCUUCUUGAAAAAAUGACCCAAAAGACCCACAAAUAUUACUAAUGAAACACACACCCCACCGACACUUCACAUCUCUACUCAAAUGCUUCAUCGUCGUCAUCGGGAAGGGGCUGACUAGCAGCUUGGGCAAGCUCAGCCUCGUGCCUGUUUCAUCAAGAAAAAAAAUACAAUGUAAGGUCUCUCUAAAUGUUUAAUCAAAGAAAAUGAGGAAAUGAGACACAAUAGAAUAACAGAUAAGGCAUUCAAGAGACUAGAGAGAAGAAACAAGACAUCCCCAUCAUCAAAAGAUAUGCUCACAGCACCGGAAAGAUAGACAAAUAAUCUUUUCUGAGGAUUUAAAGUCAACAAGCAACUCAACUUUCAAAACUGAAACUAUUUGAACAAGACCAAAAAAAAUAACUGGUCAAAAUAUUACUUAUCAAUAGAUUAAACACUUGAGAUAAUAUAAGAUCAUUUGGAAAUAACAAAAAAGAGAGAAGAUAAUAAAGCUGUUUUAGCACUAUGAAAUAGUUUCUGCAUUGGAAGUUGAUUUGGGAGAAUGGCAUUUCUUACAUAAUAUCAUAUCGCAAACAUUUAUGUUAACUGAAAUGGCCAAUAGCUGGAGAAAAAAGUGUGCAUCUGUGUGUGUGUGUGUGUGUGUGUGUGAGAGAGAGAGAGAGAGAGAGAGAGAGAGAGAGAGAGAGAGAGAGNNNNNNNNNNNNNNNNNNNNNNNNNNNNNNNNNNNNNNNNNNNNNNNNNNNNNGAGAGAGAGAGAGAGCAGUUUAAGUUAUGAAAGAAGGCUUACUGCUGCUGUGCAGCCAGAUCGAUGUGAACUUCUGGAGGAGCCAGGGCGGGGGAUUCAACAAAAUGCAGAUUAGGAUCCCUGAAACAAGCAGCACUUACAUUAAACUAAGAUCUGGAACUCCAAACAGAAAAAUUAUGCAUUAAACAACUAGAUCUUACCCAGCAAGCUUCCUGGCAAGGUACAGAAAAGGCUUCUCAAAGUUAUAAUUACUCUUUGCUGAAAUUUCAUAGUACUGCAGAUUCUUCUUCCUGUGAAAAGUGACCUGCUUGGCCUUGACCUGCCUGUUCUUCACAUCAACUUUGUUUCCACAAAGCACAAUUGGUAUGUUUUCACAGACCCUGGAAUAAAAAGCACAUGUGUCCGGGAGUUAAUACCCCUAAAUUGAAUUGAAGUCUACUCAAGGAUAAAUAAAUAAUAUAUUCCAGGCAGACCUGCAAAGAUCCCUGUGCCAUGUUGGAACAUUCUUGUAAGUUAAUCGGGCAGUAACAUCGAACAUGAUAAUUGCACAUUGGCCAUGGAUACUGCACAGAGAAUUUAUAGAAGAAAAUUAUAAAGAGUAACCAUAUAACCACGAAAUGCUGAAAAGCAUCUACACAUCAAAAUAUAUGUGCUACAACAGCUUGCCUUAAAACAAGAAAAUUAGCAUGUGAAAACAAAGUUCAGCCAAUUUUGUUUAUGAAAGAACACUUACUAGUAUCCAUCUCUAAGACCACCAAACUUCUCUUGCCCGGCAGUAUCCCAGCAGUAGAAGCGAAUUUUUCCACAGUUAGUGAAAAAGUCCAAUGGAUGGACCUCAACACCAAUAGUAGCUGUCCAUUCAAAACACACAAGAGUGAGUUGUAUAAAACAUUGAAUAAAGAAAACAAAUUCAUGACGGCAAGGGAACAAUAUGUAAAUACCAACAAAUAAAAAUGCCAGAAAACAAGAAAUGAUUUUGAAGACUCUUACGUUCAUAUUUCUUCUCAAAUUCACCAGUAAGAUGCCUCUUCACAAAGGUUGUCUUCCCUGCAUUAAUAGAUAUCUUUAGUUCCAACAAACUAUAUGAUAUAAGUAACAAGACAUAUCAAAAACUCAUAGCAAACGAAAAAGCCAUAUAAACCCAAAACCCCAAUCCAAUAACAUAUAUCACUACUACAAAAUGACUUAAAAAACAGAAAGACGCCUCCUUUAUCCUUACUGAGCAAAGCAACAGACAUUGGUGCCCAAGGUUCUAGAUUCUUAAACAUCAAUUCCAUAUGUACAAGUCGCAACAACUUGAACUCAAAACAAGGAUUCAGUUAUAUUGGAGAUCAUUUCCGUAGCUUUUUAACUAUAAGAAUCACAAAAGGCUGUUACACUAACUACUAUCAAGUUCAAAUCUGCCUACCAAAUGCUCAAAUCAAAGGCAUCAUUUUAUAAAAAAAUAAAAUAAAAUAAUAACAAAAAUCAAUUCCACCAGGACUUUUCUAACAAAGACUCGAAAACAAGCUCUAUUUUCGGCUCGUGUCAGCUCAAAACCCAAACGGUUCACCUAAGCGAAGCACAAUACAACAAAAAAAAUAAAAUAAAAAAAAUUCCACCGAAAUCAAACAGAUCACGAAUCGAAACUAAACACAGAUGAAAGAGACGAACCUGUUCCACCAUCACCAACGAUUACGAGCUUGAAGCUCGGGUACUCCACGGUCUGCUGAUUCGGCAACGCCUACACAUGCCACAACCAAAAAAUAUCAACAAAAAUAAUAAUAAAAAAAUCGAUUUUUUCCAGCAACGAAACGAAGAUCAGAAACGGCGAAGAAAAAGAGUAGCGAAGAGUGAGUUACCAUAUGAGUUGUUUAGAAGUGAGGAGUAGGAGUGGCGCAGAGAGAGGGAAGGAUGCGAGAUUUGUCCAGGCUUUUUAUACUUGGAGUCUUUCUUGACACCCUAAUAUUUUCUAUGCUAGCUUCACUCUAACGCAGGAUUCUCCACCGUCUGAUUCCCUCCCGCGUGACACGUGCCGUGCUUCACUGGACGGUCGAAAGUGUUCGGCGUCACCCCGGGUUCUCUCGGACCCGUUUUGUUUGGGCUUGGUUCUCAAAUUCCCAAAGUGCUAAGUCAGUGUAUGGGCUGACUCGGAAAUCGGGUUUGGUCUCGCUCUUGAUCGCGUCAUCUACUAUUUUUGUCCAUAUAAUAUAGGGUCAUUACUAAUGAAAAUCAAAAUUGAAAGCGCGUCAUUUACUGAUGCGAAGAAGAAUCGAGGCAAGUGUUUAUUCUGUAACCAUUACUUUUUAAGACGUUGUAAAUUGUUUACCUUAAGUUUUUAUAGAAAAUUAGAAAAAAAUGAAAUAUAGAGACGGGAUGAUAAUCCACACAUUGUUGUCGUCUCUGCGUAAGAUUGGGUUUAAUGGGAAAGAACUUCAUGAAUUGGUAACAAGAUGUAAAAAUGAAACUAAGAUAAGGAUGAAGUAAUUUCUUAGCAAACAAACAACAUAGAUGAUAUUUUGGGAUAACAUCACUUGAAUGAAAAACAGCAACAAAACCAUUGUAAACGUCUUAGAUAGGAAGUCUUGAGAUGAUUAGCCAAAUUUUUUCAUACUAAAUGUUGGGGAAAUUCUAAAGGCUCGUUUGAUUUUUUUUUUUUUUUUGAGGAGAAAGACUCGUUUGAUUAGUGAAAAGUAAGUAUGAGGAAAUGAAAAUUCUUACUUUCUUAUAUUUAGGAAUGCUCAACGAAAUGAAUUUUUUUUUAAUGAAGGGAAAAUAUGGAGGAAAGUAGUUCCUUUUAAAAUUCAAAUGAACCUAAUUUUUUUUUUUUUUUAUCAAAUGCACAAUUAAUGCGCUACAAUAUUAUGAGUCGAAUUCACGACCUUUCAUUUAUAAGGAAAGACUUAUAUUACUAUACCAAAUUGUACUAGGCUCUCCUUUUCUUUUCUUGCAUUUACGACUUACAACACAUUAUUUUAUUUCAUUAAUUAACAACACUUUUGAUGAGUUCCUUUAUGUUGCCAAACUUUUGAAUGUAAAGUUCUAUUUUUCCCUUUUCAUGGGAAAUAUAAGGAAUUACUUUCAUUUCCGCGAACCAAAUAAGACCUAAAAGAAGUACCAAGGUUACAAAAGGAAGUCUCUUGGUUACUCAACCUAUGUCCAAGAUUGGCUAAAGCAUUAGCCAUGAAAUUUGUUUCCCUAAACACAUGCUGAAAGCAUACAAACUAAAAGGAAUUACUCAAAACUUUGAUAUCAUGAAUUAGUUUGAGUAACUUCCACGGAGGGGUCGAGACUCCAUUCACGACGUCAAUCACCAACUUAGAGUCGCCCUCGACUUCAAUCUUAGAGAAGCCUCGCUACUUAGCAUACAUGAGGCUAUUGCGUAGAGCUAGAGCUUCAGUAACCAGAACAGUGAUGGUGUCGGAGUUGAAAGAGGCUGCAACAAAAGAUUUGCCGGUUUCAGUUCAAAAACCAAUUUGGUUAUCGAUUGUAGUAGUCUCUUUUGACACGUGUCGGAAAUUAUCAUUCCCCAUGGUGAAAAAACUUCUUUUAGAGUGAUCUGAACUCCUGAAGUAAAAUUGGCAGCAAACACCAUGGUUUCAAGUUUAUGUAUGCUACUAUGCUUGGUUGUUGGAAAUCAUACUCGUUUAUUUUGCUCAAGGAGGGAGUACAUUAACCGUUCAAUAAAAUCAAAAACUAUAAUACGCUAUGCUCCGAUCCCAUUAGUAUACAUAUAUUCAUAUCCUUAUUUUUGGAUUAUGCUAAACCCACACUAGCUUCCCCUCUUUUCUUCCACACAGAAACUACUUGUAGCAUGAACCGAGAUGUUCACAUAUCCAAACAACCCCGCAUUGUAUUAGCUUAAUGGCCUCAUCAAACAGCCUCACAUAGUCACAUUCGUAUAUUUAAAAACCCUCCACCUAAUUCGCAUUAGGCCUUACUCUCCUCAUUGUCUUGGCCUGCGAAGGCUUAACAACUUCACAUCAUCAAGGACAGGUCCACACAGGGAAGAGAAGUCAUCACUCCUCAUGGUGUAGAAUGUGCUGAGGAACAUUAUGCGAGUUCGAGGACCAACCGCCCUAAACUUGAGCACGGCUCGCUUGAACCCGCCUUUGCCUUUGGACUCGUAAGGAACUUUGAUCGUGUCCCUGCCUGCAAAUGCCUCCACAAUCAUGGAACCUUCACAUGAGUUGCUUGCAUCUCCAACAGAGAAUGUUAGCAUGUAGGUCUUGCCGGGGAUGGUGCGGACAAUUUGUGCAAUUGCGCUUUCUUUUCCGGCUACAAGUUCCACUGCCCGUUUGCCUUCAGGGACGGAGAAAUGGUCCGAGUCUAUGUACUUCACGGCUUUGAGAGACUCCACCAUCCAUCCUGGUAGAGGAGAGUGAUCAUCUUCAAUGUUGGGUGGGAUGAGUACACCCCAUGAUGUGUUGGGAAACACGUAUGGACCUUCUUCAAAACCGGCGUUCUUGAGCAAGUUCUCUACACGUACAUAAAUCAAACAUAUCAUUCACAAUGUAACAACAUAAUUGGCCACAUACCAAACCAUCCAAAUACAAAGAGUAGCAUCUAAUUAUUGAAUGCAUAGCUGUGAAACUUAGGUUUGGUGGUGACUGAUUCCUUUAUUUAUGAACAAACAAGAGAGACAGGACAGCGCACAAUUUUAAUACAGAAUGGGAAAGAAGUUUUGGCCCCAAAGACAGUGUCCUAAAUAUUAGGCUCCAAUAAGUCAUUUGGUUUUGCUAGCCGCAGCUUAUGAGUGGUGGUUGGCCCCAAGCACAAAUUGGACCAUAUAAUUUCAGAAAAUGACUCCAAUUCAAGUCGGUGAGAUUAAACAAGAUCAAUUAUGGCAUUUUUGUCUGCAAAAAGAACACAGCAGUGAAGCUAAUAUUUUUACCAAUAGGCAGACUGUUGCUGUAUAAAGAAUUGCAACAUUUGCCAAUAAUUGAACAAGAAAGUGGUCCAACAAGAGGACCCUAAAGGGUGUUGAUUUUUAUCUUUUAAAUUCAAACAAAUCCAAAAUUGAUCUUAAGAGAGAGACAUCAGAUCAGUAUCUCACUCCCACUAGGUCCAAGUAAAUACAGAAUCCAAUCAAAAAAUCCGAUGAUACUUAAUAAGGUUAGGGAACAUCGAAAUAAUAUCUAGAACGAAUCAAGAUACGAAACAAAGAAAAACACAAUCACAUCAUUUAGCGAAUAAAUUUGAGGCGUAUAGUGUAAAAGGACUUACUGUUGGUUGCUCGAGGAGGAUACAAAGUUCGGAUGGCAAUUGAAUCGAUAAGAGGACCGCAAGCAGGGUCUUCCUCCACUCCAGGGUUAUGCAAAACAAGCUCAAUUUGUGGAAAAUCAGCUUGGAAUGCCCAAGCAUAUGAAUCCCACCCAUUGCUGCUAUACACUGUCUGAAUUGGUAGCACACCAGAGUCUGGUGCAACAGAGAUGUUCAAACGCUCCUCUUGAGCACAUGUCCUGGCUGCACUAAAUGUAAUGGAGUAGUACAAACCCUUGGUCACAUUGAUCCUCUGCUUAAUCGAGGCCUCAUUUCCAAGCCUAACUGCAUAGGCACCCUCAGGCACAACCAGCAACAUGUCCCCUUGCUUCUGGCCUGACUUGAUGUACUCAACAAACCCGGAAAUCUCCCACUUCGGUAUGGCAUAGCGUCCGAUCACUUCUGUGCCCUUGAGGUCCGAGGGCUUUGGGGCUAGCUCGAAAUUCCCAUUUUCAAGAUAACCUGCAUUUGGUAUCAAAUAUUGAUGUUAACACAAAGAGUCAAGUAUCAAGGCCUAACAUUGUAAGCAGUAUUGGUCACUCAGAAACCAAUCAUUGAAAUUUCAGACCAUAUUUGUGUAUAUCAAACAGAUAAACACCAAAUAAUUCAACCACAGAAGGAAACUAUUUACAUCAUACAAAGAAAUGGAGCUAACAACCACAUUAACUAGCUAAAAUUGUACUAAUAUGUGAGUGAGUCAUUGUUGGCCACACAUAGUUACUUCAAUUUCAUUCAUAUGAAAAUUUUCUAAGAGAAUGAUUGUCCUUCUGGAGGAAUUUCUGCAAUGAAUAUCAUGUGUGUUACUGUUCUUUAGCUAAAAACAGCUGAUGAUAUUAUUUGAUCCUAUCACACUUUUGUACCUAUCUACUGGGUACAUUUGCCACCCAUGUGAGUUUUGCUGGGCACAUCUGCAAAGCAACUUAAAUAUUGGGGCACCAGAAAUCAUUAAUCACAACGGUCCAUUUAUUUGCCUCCUACCGGAUCAGAUUGGCUGGGAUGACAUUAUCUCUAGCAAAAAACCCCUCUAGAGCAGAAAAGCUAACAAUCAAAAGCUGUGACAUCUGACAAGAGAAUAUAACAAAGAAUUUUUAUUUUUAUUUUUUGGCUGGGGGUGGAGUUAAGAGACUGAUGAAGAACCAGGAAAUGACCUAUAUGCCCCUGGUAGAAUUCAAAUUCUCAAGCACAUAAAUAACAUGGUCAGCUUCACCAACCCACAUCUGCAAAAUUCUGCAGAAAGUUCAGCAGCAAAGGCCGAAAGACUGAACCUUUACUCUAGUGAACAGUGAUCACACUUUCUAUAUGACUUUAUAAAACUACAUAUGCACAAAGAUGAGUUCAUUUUGGUAAUUUUUGACACAAACCAUAAGACUAGUACAAGCACAAACAUUAAAGGUAUGAGCCUCAUAACCACGAAGCCAAUGAACUAAAGGAGCAAGUUCAGCUUGAAGAAACUACAGAACCACCUCAUAAAAUAGAAAAUUUCUAAAAUGGGUUUUUCCUAACCUCUUGAAAAUGCAAUCUUUGAUCUGGGUUUUUCUUACAACUCAAUAAAUAUGCAAUCUUUGAUAUGAGAAUUGUAUAUGUAUUUUGCUUACCAUCAAGAACAGACUGAGCAGGGUGGCAAGUGGCGCAGAGUAGUAGCACCGCCAAAAACAAAGCAACCGCUCUCAUAUUUGAAUUAUUUGAAGCUCUUUAUCCCAAAAGGUUUCUGUUCCUUUCGUUUUUUGAUGUGGAAGGAGGUGUGGUAUACAGAGUGGGAUUUCAAGAGGGAGGAGUACUGGUUUAUAUGCAUGCCAAAGUCUUGAAGAGACCUCGGAUUUGGGAUAUAUUGCGAAUAUGCCAUUCUUCUGGCUCUAUCUACUCACAUGGGAUUUGGGGAAAUGACGGAUUAGUCACGUCUUGGAACCAAAUCUGGGAUUUAGUUUGAAGACAAAAGCUGUUCGCUAUCACAUGGUUUCACUCUCCCUUGCUGUUGCAGAGCAUGCAUAGCCCACGACACCAUUACUUCACUUUUCUCAUUUCGAAAUCCGUUUACAACCUAAUCUCGUCAUUUUGAAAUCCAAGGCCGAUUACAAAAUUCCAAGUUAAAAAUACAGUACGAGAACUUUUAAUCAGUAAUCUCACAUUACGUUUUUUUAAACAUUUCAUUAGGUGACUAAACAAAUCGAUUCAGUCUUUAGUUUUACUCUUUUCAUAUCAAAAACCUUGAAAACAAUAAGUAAUGAACAUGCCAAUGGUUGCACAAAAGUUCGAGCUGACUUUGUUAAUUGAGAACUCUAUAAAAUCCAGCUGCAAAAAUGGUGGCCGAGUGAGAUAUUACUCCGGGACCGGGAGCAAUUUCAGGUAUAGCCCUUUUUCAAACGAUGUUUUUCACAAAUUGAGGUUCGAACCAAGAACCUCAUAUUACCAAAAUAAUCUUUACAACGUCCGUUUCAUUUGCAGUCUAGCAUGUUUCUAUUAGAUGUUUCCAUUAGAUGACUGGGCUUUGAUGAACCUUUUUCUCAUGUUACCAAACUGUUUGGCAUGAAAACAUUUUCCACAAGAAACUGAAUCUAUGUGUUGGAUAAAAGAAUGAGCAGAACAUGUGGAGUGAUGGAGAGAAUUAUGGCAAUUUAUGCUCUAAAUUCUAAUUAUUGCUGUAAUAUAAUGAGAGUACUUGAGUGAAUCGGCUCUUUAAGAAUCUAUUACAAAAUAUUUAAUAGAACUCUGAUCUCCAAAAAGGCAGUUAUAAUUUGUUGAGAUUCCAUGGUCUGUCGUUCUGGUACUUGGAGAUUGAGCUCUCCAUGUGUUUCAUAUCCCUUUUUGAUUGUUCUUGUAGACAGUGAGCUUCAAAGAUCGAUGGUCAAGCUAACUUAGGUGAAUAAUUGAGAUCACAGUCUUCAUAUGCUAAAAUAGACCAUGGUAUAUUGUGCGAUCCUUCCAACAGACAAUGCAUAUGGCUUUUUGGUUAAUUGAUGUAAUAAUGUUGUGGUUCUCUACUCAAAACCAUGAUUUUGAACCCUCAAAUAUACUUUCACAUGAUCAAAUAUAUAUGCUAAUCAACGUAAAAAACAACUGGCAUAAUUUAAGUACAAACUAAAUAAUAAAAGAUUCAACCUACACGCAUAUAUGUACAUUUGUCCAAUUUUAUUCUCAUUUUUCGGUAUGGAUGAAAUUCGUGUUAAAUUACAACUUCAUAAGUUUAAAAGCUAUUAUUCUUACCGGUACACGAAACUUAAUAAUAUUUAUGAUUGUGACACUAUAAAUUAUUCAUUUAACUUUAAAAUUGUAGAGUUACAUAAUCAUAUACAAUUAUGAUGUAGUGUUAUAUUAUCAUAGUAUAGUAUCGAGAGAAGACCGAUAUAACCCUAUGACCACCGCAACAAUUACUAUUGAGAUGCCGGAAAAUUCCAAGGAACAUAUCACGAGAGAGGGUGACGGUGGCUAGGGGGGCGGCACUGCGUAAAGUGGGGGCUACAGAAGCAAGGGUCCAAGAUUGAUCCUGAAUCCCUAGCCGACCCCAAUCUAACAGAGAGAGAUAUAGCUAGCAGCACCCCAUGAUCUUAGGCUGGUUUGUGGGCUUGACUUGAGAGAAACAUGUGGGCCUUUAUCUUACCCCAAAAUAAAAAUAAAUUAAAAUCUAUGAAGUGGGCCGGGUUUGAUCCUCAGCCUCAUCCAUAGUGAUUGGACGCAUGUGGACGACCGAGAGCAUGGCGGGUAUCGAGGGACACCUGUCCUUUCCCCUUUUGUAUUUUUCUCAACUCUAUAACCUCACUGGCCAAAUAUUAUGAAUUAUGAUUGAUCACCAACCAUUUAAUUUUCUUGUUUUGUGAGAAAUCAUUUUGGCUGUUUUGCUUCUUUUCCUUCGCAAUAGCAUUAGGUACUUCUCUCGUUCGGAAAGUUCUCGUAUGCAGCGCUGCUAUGCACCAUGUUUUCCAGAAGCAACUUCUUAAUAUUAGCUCUCGUGCAAAGCAUAUGCAAUUCACCCCUUAUUAGUGUAUGUAUGUUAUGCCGUGUUGUACAUCAAACAUACCCCUCUCAUUCUAUCGUAACAAUUCUACAACUUAUUUAUGAAAAGAGAAUUACCAAUAUUGUAAAACUUUUGGUACGCAUCAUGUAGUAAGUACACAACCAUCAUCAUCAUAUAUAAAGACUAUCAUGUACAUAUUGUAUUUGUGUCGUCUAAUUUAGGUUAUCCACAUGGUAUGUGUGGCUUCACACCGUGUAUAUAUGAUCAAUCAUUGUAAGUUAGAAAGAAAAAGAUAAAUUCAAGUUAAUGAAAUAGUCUAAGAGAUUUGAUUUAUAUAUUGUCGACAUUUAACUCAUAUGUCAGAUCAUUUCAUAGUAAAGCCUAGCUGGCAUAUGCUUCAAAGUCAAUCUAUCGACGUUGACACUAGGCUGCUAUAUAUAUAUGAAGGUGACAAAUGCUAGUAUGCUACCCUACCGCAAACCCUAAUUCAUUCAUAAACAGUAGUUUUCGAGAGUCAAAUGCAGCGCGCCUAUGGAAGAUGAGGUUUUGCGACUCGAUCAAGUACGUACGUUAAGAAGCUAGAACUUGAGCUUUCAAUUAAUCAUUAAGCUCCUUCGAUUCAUUGCCACAAUGAUGAUUGAAAACUAAUUAAUUAAUUAGUCUUAAUAUAGUUAUAACGAGGUGAAGGAAAGUGUGAAUACGAACAAGCUAGGGCGUCUAAAUGGGUCCAAAAGUUUCAUUUUAAGAUUUAGGCUGCUUUCUCAGCUGAUAUACGAGACAAGCACAUAUGAAGCACAGAAGCAGGAACUUGCAACUUAUUGGAACUUCCACCCUUGGAUAAGAUGCCAAACUAGCUUUGAUAUGCACCUAACAGAUUGACAUAGAAGCACGAAACCCUAAUCUAUUCGAUGAGAUGAAUCUCCCACUUCUCGCAUUAUAAUGCAUCACCCUUUCCCAAAAGGCCGGACAGCUAUUCCAGAUUUCCAGUGUCGUUUUGGGUCCUCUCGAGCCAAACUCAUGGCGAUGAUUCCCUGUCGUUGUCUACUCGUCGUCAUACUCGAAUCAGAUAGCUGCAAACUUUGUAUCUUUUAUAUGCUCGAUUCCUUGGUGUGUGUGUGUGUGUGUAUAUACUAUUUACCAGAGUUUCAGGCCAUGGUGAGUUGGUGACUAUAUUUAUUGUUCUGUCUGGUUAAGCAUGCAGGAACUAGGUAAACGAAGAUGGACUUUCUAAGGCUCGUACGUGCAUAUGGUUUCAGGUACGUGAAGUUGAUUGAUGAGAGGAACAGGAGGUGAUGAUGAAAAGUCAUAUAUGGCUAACAUGUAAAACCCUAAUUUUCAUGUUCUUAACGUGUAUCUUAUGGCCGGGGAUGCAUUUUCAGGCUUCUGUCCUCGAUCUACAUAUGGAUGUGUGUGUGUGUAUGGUCGAUCUGUGACUCUAUGAGUUUGUUCUGGAUACAGAUUCAGGUUUAAAUUGAAUGAAUGUGGUUCUCAUAUAUAUGGAAAAUGACAUGCUAACAGCUAACUUAUGCAGUUUGAAGGGACAUGCAGAUCGAACGGUUGCCAAACUCUCCCCAUGGCUGUUAUUAAAACAUUGUCGAUCUCCUGAUAGAAACGUAUAUAAUGUAGAUCAGAGUCAUAUCAAUCACUUCAUUAUUGGCAAUUACAUGUUCGUUCAAGCUAUAAUUUUGGAAUUUGGAUUUUGUUUCAAGUUCAAAGAUUCAGAGUUUCGAAAAUUAACGCUGCUUGGAUCAACUUGAGAACUUUGAUGUUAUCAUCUUUCCCAUCGAUCAAGAAUCCAAAUAAAAUGAUAAUUGACCACAUAAAGUUGCAACAAAUCGAUCACACGUACAACUCAUCUUAUUAAUUACCUUCAACAUGAAAGAUGUCAUUUUGGAUUUGGGUGUUCAAAUCGAAAUUAUUGAAGACAGAUAUACAUGGAUCGAUCUAGCUACAUCGAUCGAUUUUGAAUUUAAUUUGAUAAAAGCAACUUCACAUAUGAAGUGAAUCAGCAGUGGAUCACAGCAAAUCUAAUAAGGUAGCUAGCCAGAAGGUUGUUUUCAACCUACAUCGAUGCAGAUGCGACACAACCCCACUUUUGAUCAAUGACUUGAAAUAAUGCACCCGCCAAAUGUUAUCAUCACACGAAUUGUUCUUCGAAUCCUAAUAUCCUAAUCUAUAUAUAUAUAGAAUUUUUGGCCACUUUUUAGGGAUAGGGCAUUACACCACUUCCCAAUUGAAUUUUUACAUCUCCACCGUUCAUUUCUUAGGUCUAUAUGAGUAGAUCACCUUUACAAAAUUUCAUAUGAUUUGGUGAUCGUUAAGGCUUUCAAAAGUUUGAUUUAGUUUUAAUGAUCUUGAACGGUCCAGCUUAUGUCAAACUAAAACCGUUGAAGGUCAUUAAAACUAAAUUGAACUUUUGAAAGUCUUAACGAUCACCAAAUCAUAUGAAAUUUUGUAGAGGUGAUCUACUCAUAUAGACCUAAGAUAUGAACGGUGGAGAUGUAAAAUUAUAAUCGGGAAGUUGGUGUAAUGUCAUAUCCCUAUAAAUGGCUUAAAAUAGAGAUCUCUCAUUGGAAGGGCCCUGUAUAUGUAUAAUUGAUGCAAUAUAUAUACAUGUUUAUCAAACUAAUUAAGUUUCUCUAUAUAGCAAGAGGGAAAAUUCAGUUUUUGCCCAAGAAUCUACAUGCAAAAUGGCCGGUAUAGCUCAUGGUGAUAUUGACAAAAGAGAAAGAGAUAGGGAAAAGCCCUGGUGAAAGAUAACCCUAGCUAGGGACAAUGAGGAGGAUAGCGUAUUAAUAUUGCAACAUCAGUCUUGCAAUCAAAGCAUUGCAUGGGGCUCAUGCUAUCACAUGGAAUGUUGAACUGUGUAAAUAGAAUUUUCAUCAGACCUAUAUUCAUCUUUCGUUAUCACUCAUUCACUCCAGAAUUUGUGAAAAAACACAUACGUUUUGCUCUUAAUUCUUACUCGGUGCUUUCCAUAAGGUGAAAAUCUGGAACCCUAGUAUUACAAGACUGAUACAAUCAGGUUCUGUAGAUGAUGAAGCGCGCGCAAGGAGGUGAAAUAGGCCAUUAUUAGCUGAUGAAUCUCGUUUAACUUCGAUGUUCAUAGUCGUCGAUUCCGGUACCGGCAUAUCGAAUCAUGGAUCGACUGAGAAUACAAUAGGAUUGGUGAAGACAGCAGAUCGAGUAAAGUUGGUACUUGUUUGGAAAAGAAACAAGGAGGGACGUGAGCACAUGGACAUAUUUAUGGAGACAUAACAUAACAAUGCAUGUAUAAUUGAGCUGGGGGGCUUUGUGGAUGCAGAUCAUCGAUAAAGGAUUCUGCUGAAAGAGGAUGAAAAUUUGGAUUGACUAGCGAGUGUACAUGAAAGCGAAGUCUGAGCCACUAUCGGUCAUAUGUAAGUGGGCAGACACUGUCUGUUCUAUACAGCUCCAUUGAAAGAAAUAUAUAGCUAAAUAUGUUUACCUUCGAUAUUCUAUAUUGUUCAUUUAUGUGUUUGUUUUCAAAUGAUCCAGUUCUCCUGCGCGCCCCUCAUCGAGAAUAAACAUGCAGGCCACCGAGAUGAGAAUAAGAAAAGUACCAUAUAUACUGUAAAUCUGUGAUGGUAAACCGAUAACUAGUCUAUGAAACCUGAUAGAUUUUCUCAGUUUGUCCAACAGUCUAAACUGGAAAAUAGGCACACAGAGAAAAAAAGAAGAAGAAAUAUUACCCUGACCACAGUGACACUAGUAUGUGAAAGAGUGUGUGAGGACUCGCAUAGUCAUCGAGUCAAAAACAAAAACGAAAUUUUCCCUUUCCUAAACUGGGAAUAGAGAAUCACGACUUAUAGAAGUAAAGCAGAUUUCCUCACACAACUUGGGGGUAAAACCUUAUUCCUAAACUUCAUAGGCCAAAGUUUGCACACUGAUUCAGAGCACAUAGAGUUCCGGCGGCUUUCAUAAUCAAAUACAGUAUGUUUCAUAAUCAAAUCGCUUUACUUGCAGUUUACUACUUGUAUAUGUGCACCAUCACUACAUUUGAUUCACGGAUCCGGCUCCUCUAAAGUGAAGAGUCGGUGAAGUUAGUUAAAUUUCAUAAAAUCUGGACUCUUUAUCCGACUCCUCACUCUAGAAAAACCAGAUCCUUGAUUCACAAUGGGGGAUGCAAACAGUGGUGGCUUAGACAAUAUUGGCGGCCUAAAAAGUACCUAUUUUAUUAAGUGGCUAAAGUAAUAUCUACACCCUAACCGAUCCAAGCAUACUAUCCUGAUUGUACCACUCGUGGUAAGAAAACUAAAAACCAAAUUAUUAAGAUAAUCUCAAUAAACAUACAUGCAAGGCCAGGCAUAUACACUAUCCAAAACCAAUGUAAUAACAUACAUCAGACACAGAGAAAUCGGUGUAUUGAAUAUUUGAAUGAGUUAUAUAGUUGGAGGCAGAGAGCAUAAGGGCAAAUCUCAUAGAAGAAGUAAAGGAAGAGGCUAAUGGCGGAUUGGCGGAUGGGAUCGAUUUCAAGUUUAACCCUAGCCUGCAGGAUCUAAUUUUGGUUUUGUUAAUUGGAUCACCUUUCCCUGAAUGAUAAUUUCUAGCUUUAAUAAACAAUAUCUGGCUGAAGAGAGGAACCUAAUGAAUAGUGCCACAACAAUACUCGCGCAAUGGAUUUUAGAAGAUAACAUCAGUCAUAUCUCAAACAGAGCGAAAAGCAAUUUUUAAAGACUAUACUCCGAGUCUCCAAUCUUGUUCUAAGAAUAGGAAUGCAGAACAGCAUUAUUGGAAAGUUUGAGAGUUUGAGAGAGCAAAGAAGCAGCAUCUCGGGGGGUUAAAUUCGUUUUUGCUUUGGCUAGUCCUUGGAAGACAAGGAUAAACAAAUCUGGUCCGACCAGAAAAGUCCUGCCUCACUUUCCAUCCCCCAGUUUGACAGGGAAAGACAAACUUUGCAGGGAAAGAUCAAGGUAUUAGAAGCAUAGAUGGAAAGACAGCCACCUUUCCGAGGCAAACACAAAUACUGAAUACAUUUACAAAGUACAACAGAACAUAAACAGAAUGCACCAUCGUAGUGUGGCAAACAAUCUUUGCACCCAAUAGACAAACGAGCUUAUUGAAAUCAAACAUAUUGAAGAAGUCAAAAGUUCGAUCAUACAUUAUUAUUGAAAAACAAAGGACUCUUCCAGUAUAUGAAAGCAAUCCAGGAAGUUCCAAUUCAGGUCCUCAAGUGCCCAAUAAUUGGGAAAAACUUAUAGAACAAGAAAAGAAUCCCCUUAAGGUAUGGAAGCAUCUACCAGAAA
rnacentral:lncRNA from 1 species